rnacentral:lncRNA from 1 species
GGCAGAGACAGGCAGAUCUCUGUGGUUCUAGGCCAGCCUAGUGUGCAAAGAGGACUUCUGCUACAUAAGGAGGCACUGGCUCAAAACAACAACAACAAACAAACAAACGAAAAACAAUAAAACCAAAUCAUAAAGAAUUAUCUGUGUGGCUGCAUCACCACUGGAUGUCCAUGUGUGUGGGGUUCACUGAAAAUUCUCUAGUCUAAAACACAGAUCUCUGGUUUGCCCGCCAUUCAUCCAGUCUUCCAAAGCCUUACUUUAGAUUUCUUGUUUCUAUCACUAACCAAAUUCAUUUAUUUUGAUGCUGAGGAUAGAACCAGGGACCUGGAGAUGCUAAACCAAGGUCCACCCUGGGCUGCUGGCUCGCAAAGACAGAAGCUAAACAGGACAUGCCUACUACCUCUGCCUCCACCUCUCAGGGCCUCACGCUGUCAGCCGUGACCGGACAGACCCGGUUCUACAAGGCCACCCUCACCAGCCUGGAGACCUUUAAUGACCUCGUCAGAGUCUGACUUCGACACUGAGACGUUCAGGGCGGACCAGUUAAUAAAAUGGAG